rnacentral:lncRNA from 1 species
CUUGAUGGUUUCCGUUUUGCUCGAACAACCGAAAUUACUUCCCUGAAAACUCAUGUCCAUUAACUAUCUGCCAAGACAAAAUGAUACAAGAAUUAUAUUACGGUACAGAAAAAGAUAAUUUUUUUCUAUAUAAAAAUGUAUAACAAUGAGCACAUAAAAAUUCCAUAAAAUUAUCCGAUGAGCCGAAACAAAUAUUAGUAUGUUAAAAUGUAUUACGAAAAAAUUCCAUGAAUUCUAUAUGUGUGGGGUAUAAUAAAAAAGAAAAAGGAAAAGCAUGGGGUAUAAAAAAAGAUAAAGGUCCACGAUCCCAACAAUUUCGGAUCUCCCUCCCUAGAAUCCCGCAGUCCACGAUCUCCUUCCCACGACGCGGCAGUCCACGAUCUCAUUCCCUGAUCCCCUCAUGGACCUUCCCUCUUCACCCUCAUCUCUCCUCCACCUCUCUUCCACUCCCCUGGUCCUUUCCCCCGCUGCCCGUGCUGUCUCGAGGAAACCUCGGCCCCUCCCGGCGAGCUGCCCUAAAUCUGCUGUCCACGUCGUCGUCGCACCGGUGGCGGCUUCACGAGGACACCUCGUCCCAUCCCCGUGCGCUGCCCUAGCUCCAGUGUCCACACCGUCCUCGCCCUGGUGGCCGCACCGUCUCAAGUACACAGGUAAGGAAGAGUACAUAGUGCUCUUAUUUGUACUGUAUGGAGUAUAUUAUAAAAUUUAGUAUGGAGUAUAUGUGUAUUUCCUUUUGAAACUGGAGUAUAGAAUUUUAUUAGUUCCAAAAAAUCAUAUAACCUUUUUUCUUUGGAUCCAAGUGAGUAGUAUAUUCAUCCAAAAAAGAGUAUAUUCAAACAGUGGCACAUAAUAUACGAAAAAAGAGACGUAGUAUGGCCAUAAAACGGAUGUGACGCCAUUUUUUAGAGAGUACAGUGUAUAUAUUUUCAAAAAAGUAUGGAGUAUUUCCCUUUCCAAUUAGUAUGGAGUGUACAAUAUUAAACCUUUUUUUAUAUAUUAGUAGACACUGCACAUUAGGAUUCUUACCAAUGGCUUUAUGCACUGCAAAAUUGGUGCCAAAUGACAGCAUGUUUAAUACAAAUCCUUGUCUUCGAAAAUACUGUAUGAUACCAUUAUAGAAGAUCCAUAUAUUUCAGCUGGUACAGAUGUUUCUAUUAUUUAAAAUGUCGUGUUAGGUUAAAAUCAUAGAAAAAAUAAUUAUAGAGGACGAGAUAACAAUGCCUAUGCAGAUAAAGAAACAUAUUAGACAGCAUAACAAGCCUAAUAAGGCACAAGACUAUGUGGUUUAUCCCCAAGGCACAGAACAAAACCUUCAAUGUCCUAUUGCUAAAUUUUAUUGUUUUUAUUUUUGUUAAAUGUUAUUAUGGGCAUUGUGACAGAUUAUUCCUGCACUGGCAAUGGUUGGUCCGUGGUAGAAAAUAUCAAAACCGAACCAAGCAAACAAAGACGUUUAGUGAGCACGGACGAUUCAUUUCUAAACAAAGCAUGGACGAGAAACUAAUACUAAUAUAUGCUUUGGUUUUCAGGAAAACAUGGACGAGGAAGGCAAGGACAAGCAUGCGGAAAAUAUGCAGACUGAAGGCAUGAUAACGAAAGACGAGGAUGUGAACCCCGAGUCAUCAAAGACAAUAGAACAACAAGCCAUCAUGGAUGAUAUAGAAAACAUACAUAUUACUGAGGUCAUUAUUAUAUUUUCACAUGUCAUUAUUAUUGUUAUUCUGGCGGGACAAAACAAUAUGUAAUUUGUGCUAUGAUAUCAAAUAUAAAACUGUUUACUCACCUUCAUAAUAUUCUCUCUUUUAUAUGGACUACAUACUGUAUAAUAUUAUAUUAUUGUGUCUUUCAUUUACUAAUCAAGGAAGAAUCAAGUGGAAUAAAUGACAAAGAUGAAGUAGAAAAAAAGAAUAGCACGCGGGCCACUGAUUGCGAAGUGACACAUGCAUGCUUUCUUUUCAAAGUAUCCCAAAUAGUUAUAAUCUAAUUAAAUUAUAUUCUGCAUAGGGAUUACUCUUUGUAAUGUUGCUCUCAGGAAUUAACAAGGCAGAGAACAAGUGAACAAAUGCAGCCUACUCAAGACAUUGAAUUAGCACAAAUGUUCGACACCGAAGGGAGGAAACUAUAGGGGACAACUUGGCAGAUUCAAAUGUACGAGCCGACAAAGAUGAAGAGGAGAAAAAGAAGAGCACACAGUCCACUCAUUCCGAGGUGGCAAAGUCAUCUUUUCUUUUUCAACUAUCUGCUAAAUAAAUAGUUCUAAUGCGAAAGUCAACUUUUCUGAGGAAAUAACCUUCAAGGAAACAAGUGAACAAAUGCAUCAAGUUCAGGACGAGGAAUUAGAACAGACAUGGGGCACCGAAGGGGCAGAAACUAUAGGGGAUAAUCUGGCAGAUUCAAAUGCAAUAGCCGGCAAAGAUGAAUUGGAGGAAAAUAAGAGCACGCAGUCCACUGAUUCUGGACUCUCCGAAGUGACAGAGGUAUCUUUUCAAUUCCAACUAUGUCCCAAAUAGUUCUAAUUCUAAUUCUAUUAUAUCUUGCAUACAGAUGAUUCUUUAAUAUGUUGCUCUCAGGAAUUAACAAACAACGAAACAAGUAAAAAAAUGGAGGCAUGUGGGGACGAAGAAUUAGAACAAACGUCCGGCAGGGAAGGGGCAGAAAUUAUAGGGGACAAGCUGCCAAUGCCCGGGCAAACAUGGAAGCCUAUCCGACUGCAUAACAAACCUAAGAAGGCACAAGACUACGUGGUGGCUCCAGAAGGCACAGACAAAUCUUUCUAUGCCCUGGUUUUGCUACAUUUGUUUUCCUCGUUAUUAAUAAACGUUAUUACUUCCAUCAUGAUAGAUUACGCCUACACCGGCGAUGAUUGGUCCGUGAUUGAAAAUAUCAUGUCUGAACCAAAUGAUAAAAGAACUUUAGUGAGCAUUGACGACUCAAAUCUCCAAAGAAGACAGUUGGAACGUCUUUUAUUCCCUGGAGAAUUUCUUGGCGAGAAGUAAGUAUAUGUAGCUUUAUGACGAGACGAUGCUAUUUGAACAUGAGUUACUAUUUUGUCCUAUGACCAAGGUGUGCACUUCAUAUUACAGAUCAUAGACGCAUACAUACAUUGCAUAAGUGCUAAAGAGCAUCUAAAGAUGAGGACGGGUGGAAGUGUGUUCUUAGAGAAUGCAUGCAUCUCUAAGCUGAUAAAGGAAUUUAAGUUUAUACGGGAUGACACACUAAGAUGGGUGUUAGACAGAGCUAAAACUUAUUUGGAACAUGAUAUGGUGAGUCUCGGUUCUUUACAUAUUACUAUGAAUUCAAUCAUGGAUGAAUGUUUCUACAGAUGGGACCUAAACUAACAAAAACUCUAUUUACAGAUAUAUGUUCCAGUAAACAUUAAAGACUUUCAUUGGUACCUAGGAGUUAUAAAUAGCGGGGUGCGACGUAUCCAGGUGCUCGACUCGCUAGGCCCAGGAAUGAACCGCAAAGACCUCACUGCUAUGGUUAGUUAUUAGUCCCAGUGCACCAUCUUUUGAUAAGACGAUUUCUGUUAUUCUUCGGUUGUGAUGCUAAUACGUUGUCAUUUAUUCAUGCAACAACUCGAAGGACUGGAAAAUGUAUUCCAAUAUGAUCACUUCAAAUUGAACUAAAAUUUGAUAAGUGGAAAGACGUAAACAUUACAGCAUGGCCAAGGGAAGAAUGUAUUAAGAGCAGUCUGCAGUCAGAUGGGUAUACCUCUUUCGAAUCAAACUUGUUGCUCCCAUCCCCUUUCGGCACCUCCUUCUCCUUCACGAUAUCUAAAUCAUUAAUAUUAAGACAUAUGUUGUAAGAAUGUCAUCCUUUGUCGUCUCAGGUUCUAGAAUAACCACAAUUAGUAGAAGUGAGAAUUCUAUGUUUACAUAUAUGCGGAAUAUCUUAAACUCUAUUUCUAAAUACAGCAUAUAAAAAGACAGUUUUGGAGAAUCACCAUUACCAGUGCAAAUGGUAGCUCAUCUUGGUUGAACUCAUUCUCAGAGCCAGAUAGAGUAUGCAUUGGAAAAUCUGAUGAUCAUUGAGCAGAGGAAACAUUGUUUUUGUUAAAAAGAGUAGACAUUCGUAGGACACAGACAUUAUAUAAAUAGUCUACACUUACACUAUUAUUAGGUACAGGGAAGCAUGUCCUGCAAACAAACAAACAUCUCAUAGAGGAAAGCACCUCAGCAGCAUACGACAUUUGCUAUCAUUGUGGUGGGUCAACUUCAGUGCAAUGCACGGCACAACGUUCAUGGAGAAAAACAGAUUGAUAAGUACCACACUCUAACAAAAUCUAGCCGCACGAUAACCGCAACUAUUAAAUAUCUAUAAUUUAAUUUAAUUUCUAUAAAUUCAUUUAUAUAUAUAACACUUAUAAAAUUGAUAAAACAAUAAUGGAUAUAUUUAAUUUCUAUAAUCAUAUAUAGGUCAUCUUGUGGUCUCUCGAUGAUAAAUUUUAUGGAGUACUUCACUGGAAAUGAUUUGUCUGACACUCCUACGCAGGUAAAUUUUAUCCUAAUACUUAUUCUAUGUUGUAUCAUUACUUAACUCUUAUUUCUAUUUUAAUAGGAUCAUGUGACAGAUUUUAGAACAAAACUAGCUGACAUUUUAGUGGACUCGGAAUUGAAUGAUGAUAAUAUAAGAAAUCGAGACAUGGAAGAUGACGAAAACAAUAUAGAUCCCACAGAUUGUAUGAUUCUGGAUGGACCCCCUCAAAAUCUCAAAACAUCGAAUACAUCAUCAGAUGUUGAGCUCAUCUCACAGUCAUAUAUCCUUUCACCGUCUGUCAACCCAACAAACGAUGACUUAAUAGACGAACUGUGCUUAUUCAUCAGUAUGGUUGAUGAUGACGCUUUACUAGAGUAAGCCAUGUUCUUUUAGUUUAUUUUGUAUUCUAAUAAAUUACUCUGAUGUCAUUAUAAUUGACAAAAUUUUAAUUUUACAGGAGCGAAUGGGUGAAAAGCUCUGAUCCUUACCCUAUCAGCUUAAAGUUGAGACAAAUAAAAAACAUACUAAACAAUGAUGAAUAUAUGGAUAUUUAUUGCUUUAACAUGGUUGUGCGGAUACUAGCGCGCCACAAAGUCCAACUUCUCAGAGACAUUCCAUCUCACUACAUGGAUCUAAACUUUUGUGUAAGUUACUAUAAUUGCGUUUUACAUUUUUUUUCUCAUAGAACUAUUGUUUUCUUAUUUUUAUUUUAGUCCAUGUUUCACUAUGCACGAGACCCAAGUCAUCAUGAAAAUAUGGACAGUGCUAUGUUUAAACGAUUGUUUCAUAGCUGGCUGACAGCAAUGAGUAUCAUAUCUCACAGUGUGAUAUGGUAAGAUUUUAAUUUUUCAUUUAUAACAGUGGUUUAUUUGGUUUAAAUUAAAAUAUUUAAUGUAUUUAUAAAUGUAUGCAUCAUUGCAGAUUUUAUUGCCUUGGGAUAUUUUUGGGCUGUUUCUAUUGUUUGUCUUGUAUCAAGAUAAAAAAGUUAUCUCAAUUUUUGAUCCGAUACCAAUACCUACUUUGGGAAAGAAUAUACUUAAAACCGUGGUUAGUAACCUAAACCUCGCACUCCAAGUUGCAAACCCUGCAUUCAAGGACGAUAUCUCUAAAUGGGAAUGUAUAGUUCCGGUUGUUCCAACAAACUCACACUGGUAUGAAUCUUUUUAAUGCAUUAUAAUAUUAAAUAAUUCAUUCAUUCAACGCACAUUAUGUGUUUAUUUCAUACAUGCAGUGCCUUGUCGAGGUAUUUGGUUUUUAACUACAUGCACUCAUUGUGCGAUGGAAAGCUAUAUUUUCUUGUACCCCAGGUGAGUAUUUACACCAUGCUUAUUUGUAUACACAUUGCACAUACAAACUUGUUAUAACAAUGUUGUCUACUGCAUAUGUAGGACUAUUUUGAACUGAGGAAGCGAUUUUUGGUGCAUAUUUUAAAGUAUGAAGAAAAUGAAUCUCAAAACAAUAUCCCAUACAUUGAAGGAAGCAUCAUAGAUCGCAUCUAUAGAUGGACUUUCAUUGCUUCAAAAGAUGGACCAUCAGGACGUGCUUAGUCCUGGUUUUUAAAACAUAUUUCUGUAACAAUUAUUGUGUGGUCGUGAAUUUUGUGCGGAGACAUGUUUCUGGAUCGUAUGUUACGCACAUUCUCAUAUUGUUUUAAAUAAAAGUCAAAUUGUUUUAUAUAAGACACCGAUAAAUUGCUCGAUAAAAAAGCUCAAAUAUGUUUUACUAUAGAUUAUGAUAGGUGUGUUGAUCACAAAUAUGUCACAAUUUUGAAAAUACAAUUUGAUGACAUAAUAACAUUUUGUACCCGUGUGAAAAAAAUCAGAAAUUAUUUUAGGGGUCAUCUUCUAUAAAUCAACAGUAAUUAGUACAAGUUAAUGAAGGAUUUAUUAAUUUGAUUUGGGUCAAUCAAUAGUAAUUAGUACUAAGUUGUAAGCAGGUAAACUUACCUAGCGUUGGCAGCAGGACC